AGCCAAGUAUAAGUCAAUGUGGGGAGAAGAGUAACAGCUGGAGGAAAGGUCAGACUGUGUGAGAGGUAGCAGAUGAGCUACUUUAGGGGGAAGAGGAGGAAGAGAAGAAAAGAAACACAUCGAUUUAAAAUGGAGGGAGAAAGAAAUAAGACCUGAUAUUUGCUCAAAAUUAGGGUCCAAUAAAAGAAAAGCAUACAAACAUA